UGAGUGCAGAAGAGGAGAGUGGAACUCCAUGUGUAGCGGUGGAAUGCGUAGAUAUAUGGAAGAACACCAGUGGCGAAGGCGGCUCUCUGGUCUGCAACUGACGCUGAGGCUCGAAAGCAUGGGUAGCGAACAGGAUUAGAUACCCUGGUAGUCCAUGCCGUAAACGAUGAGUGCUAAGUGUUGGGAGGUUUCCGCCUCUCAGUGCUGCAGCUAACGCAUUAAGCACUCCGCCUGGGGAGUACGACCGCAAGGUUGAAACUCAAAGGAAUUGACGGGGGCCCGCACAAGCGGUGGAGCAUGUGGUUUAAUUCGAAGCUACGCGAAGAACCUUACCAGGUCUUGACAUCUUGCGCUAACCUAAGAGAUUAGGCGUUCCCUUCGGGGACGCAAUGACAGGUGGUGCAUGGUCGUCGUCAGCUCGUGCCGUGAGAUGUUGGGUUAAGUCCCGCAACGAGCGCAACCCUUGUUACUAGUUGCCAGCAUUUAGUUGGGCACUCUAGUGAGACUGCCGGUGACAAACCGGAGGAAGGUGGGGACGACGUCAGAUCAUCAUGCCCCUUAUGACCUGGGCUACACACGUGCUACAAUGGACGGUACAACGAGUUGCGAACUCGCGAGAGUAAGCUAAUCUCUUAAAGCCGUUCUCAGUUCGGACUGUAGGCUGCAACUCGCCUACACGAAGUCGGAAUCGCUAGUAAUCGCGGAUCAGCAUGCCGCGGUGAAUACGUUCCCGGGCCUUGUACACACCGCCCGUCACACCAUGGAAGUUUGCAAUGCCCAAAGUCGGUGGCCUAACCAUUUGGAGGGAACCGCCUAAGGCAGGGCAGAUGACUGGGGUG
rnacentral:rRNA from 1 species